rnacentral:siRNA from 1 species
GAAGAUUAUGACCGCACUCCAAGA